GAGCUGUGAGGAACUCGGCGCUUGAAUGAUGAUGGAUGGGUUUCCAUCAGUGUAUCUGAAUCUCAAGAUGAUACUUAGCGCGACUGAGCUC